rnacentral:rRNA from 1 species
GAUGAACGCUGGCGGCGUGCCUAAUACAUGCAAGUCGAGCGAACAGAUAAGGAGCUUGCUCCUUUGACGUUAGCGGCGGACGGGUGAGUAACACGUGGGUAACCUACCUAUAAGACUGGGAUAACUUCGGGAAACCGGAGCUAAUACCGGAUAACAUUUGGAACCGCAUGGUUCUAAAGUGAAAGAUGGUUUUGCUAUCACUUAUAGAUGGACCCGCGCCGUAUUAGCUAGUUGGUAAGGUAACGGCUUACCAAGGCAACGAUACGUAGCCGACCUGAGAGGGAGAUCGGCCACACUGGAACUGAGACACGGUCCAGACUCCUACGGGAGGCAGCAGUAGGGAAUCUUCCGCAAUGGGCGAAAGCCUGACGGAGCAACGCCGCGUGAGUGAUGAAGGGUUUCGGCUCGUAAAACUCUGUUAUUAGGGAAGAACAAACGUGUAAGUAACUGUGCACGUCUUGACGGUACCUAAUCAGAAAGCCACGGCUAACUACGUG